rnacentral:lncRNA from 1 species
AGACAUACUUGACAUAGAUUGGAGAUGAAACGCUUUCCAGUUACACCCAUGUGGAGCUCAUCAAAGUCUCUAGCAGUAAGAGGUGAGCAUCAUCAUCACCAAUUUAUAAAUGGAAACACAGAGACUCAGAGGAGCCACAGUCAUGCAGCCUUUGAAUUACAAAUAAGGAAUUGCAUUUCAGGUCAUCAUGCUCCAAAUUGCCAGGACAUUUCUGCAGCUCGGUUUGGAGUUGAGGCAUUCAACUGAAUUUCUGGAGAUUAGGGCAGCCCUCUAAGGUCCAUCUCUUUCAUUUAAACUGGCCCUUCUGCUUGCAACUGACUGUAAGAACAGAAUUCUCUUGGAAGCUCAGAGAACACGAAGGUGGAG